rnacentral:misc_RNA from 1 species
UCUGAAGGACUAUCAGGCACAACUCUGUUCCAAAUUCUCAGUAUUAAUGUACAAAAUUACAUAGAUGAUGCACAGAUAGGACCCAAAAUGAAAUCUGAAAUUCAGUAAGCUGAAUAUAACAUGGAAAUGCAACUCAAAUCAGUUUCAAGUGGCUGCACUCAGCCCAAGAUCAAACCAACAGACUUGUUUUGCAUUCCAUUAACCUCAACCAGCGUUUUUCAAUACUGAGAAUCUAGAUUCAGGCCAAGUUUUGGGAUCUCUUUUUCUAUUGAUAAAGAACACAAAUGAUAACAAAGAUAAAAGACAUCAUUUCUUAAAUUGGGCAAUAACAAAGCCAUAAACAAAUAUCAUGUUUCAAGGUAACAUGCUAAAUGCAUGUAACAAAUAGAUCAUCAAUUAAUCAAAGUUGGGUAUACAAUCUCAUCCAGUCAAACUUUAAGGAUUUACAUUUUAAAAUUAUUAACUAUAAUAAACAGCACUAGCACCAACAGGUUUGGAGAACAUUUAAUGUAAGACUUGAGUAGCAAUCAAAUAUUUGUAUCUUCUAGUUCAAUCUCCUAUAUAAUCUUAACAUGAAACAUUAUGUUGACUGAAACCUAAAGAAUGUUCUAAUUGUCCCUCAAACUACAGGUCAAUGGUUGGUAUACAUAAUUAGCGUUGAUGCAUGUCUGGUUGAGUUUGGAUAACAAUCAUUUAAGACUCAAUUGUACUAAAAGAACCAACAAGUUUAGGCUCUAAUCUCCCAUGUCAUCUCAACAUAUAGAAUGGUGAUCAUAAUUGAACCAUCAAGGCAAACUGCUUUUGCAUUACAUGUCUGUGAUAUACAGAAUAUGCAGUUCUGCAUCAUGCAUGUCAAGUUAAACCUUGGAUUAAAAAAAAGGUGCAAGUUUUGGCUCUGAUGUCCCAUGUCGUCUAGUUAUACAAGAUGGGCAAAUUAUAUGGUGACUUCGUUUUUAGCAAAGUAUUUUACUUUGUAACCAUCACCUUUGCAGUAUUUUUCCCCCUUUGGGAACGGGCUUGGGGUUGGGGUGUGAGUUCCUAUGCUUUCUAAUUGCUAGCCAACACAUUAGCAUCAACCCCUUACUCAAAAGUUCAGUACGCAAUGAAGAUGGGAUUCCACCCUGUAUCUUUGGAACAAUCCCAAGGGACAUUGCUGGGAUACAAAGUUGAACAUAUUUACCCUAUUAUACCAAAGUAAAUAGA